GCAAAUAUCCUGGUAACCUCAAAUGGCCACCUUAAACUGUCAGACUUCGGUCUGAGCGAAGUUGUCGCCUUUACAGUGACUGGCACAUGUGGAACUUUUGCAUAUAUGGCUCCUGAGAUGAUAAUAGGAGAGCCAUAUACUUAUUCCGUGGACUGGUGGUCCUUUGGAAUAACUUUAUUCCAGAUGCUAACUGGUCAGCUACCAUUUUAUGAUGACGAAGAGAGAAAUUUGUUUGAAAACAUCGUGUAUACGACCCCUGACAUCCCCGAUUGGCUGGG